CUUCCUCUCCCCGACACCACCACUCCACCCCGCGUCCCCAUCCCCACCUCAUGUACACUCUGGGGGAACAGACACACUUGCCCAGCCAGAGCCAGCACAACCCUGGCUGUCCCACCUCCUUAUGCAUAGUCUCCUUCCACGUCAAUGACAAAGAAUCAAGCGGAAUGUUCUCAGGCUCCAGAUUCUCCUUGAAACAAAACCAUGUUUCUGGAGAGAAAGACAUGGAAGGACCCCAACCCCGCACAGCCGCAGGCCCCACACUUGAACACGUAUGAACAGCAGGACACCAGGGCUGGAAAGCACAGUGACAUGAAACUGCGGACGGAACUUUUUCUGGCAAUUUAUUUUAACUGCGGCAACACGGCUUUCCAGAACGCCAGAAGAGAAUGCAGCUGAAAAUCUGAGUUUCUUGCCUGGUAUCAGAACGUCUCCAAAGAACUGACGAAGACGUUAUGGCCCAGCUCUGAACAGAUGUUCCAUGUGAACUUUAAAAAGUUGAGAAAUUCUUCCCGAGUGAAGCUGGGCAGUCUGGAGUUUGGGGGGCCCGGGGAACCCCCCCACCCCGCCGCCCUGCGCGCGCACGCACGCACGCGCUCCACUCAGGUCUACUGUACUUGUCAAAAACAUUUCAAGGGGACCAGCGGAAGCGACCAUUGGCUGCUUCCUGAGUCAAUCAGCGGCGUUGCCAGGCAACGGGGAAACUGCUCAGCUCCGCGCACCCAGGGCAAUUGGGAGCUCGCAUACCUUCACUGCCGGUCAGAUGUCAUAAACCUUUUAUUGGCUGCACCGUGGCGAACCUUAAAAACAAAUCAAUAAAAGCCCGCCGACCCCCAA